UACGAAGGGGGCUAGCGUUGCUCGGAAUCACUGGGCGUAAAGCGCACGUAGGCGGAUUGCUAAGUCAGGUGUGAAAUCCUGGAGCUCAACUCCAGAACUGCCUUUGAUACUGGCGAUCUUGAGUCCGGGAGAGGUGAGUGGAACUGCGAGUGUAGAGGUGAAAUUCGUAGAUAUUCGCAAGAACACCAGUGGCGAAGGCGGCUCACUGGCCCGGUACUGACGCUGAGGUGCGAAAGCGUGGGGAGCAAACAGG
rnacentral:rRNA from 1 species